GACGAACCGUGCGAACGUUGUUCGGAAUCACUGGGCUUAAAGGGCGCGUAGGCGGACUAUCAAGUCUGGGGUGAAAUCCUCCGGCUCAACCGGAGAACUGCCUUGGAUACUGGUAGUCUAGAGGGUGGUAGGGGUCUGCGGAACUUCCGGUGGAGCGGUGAAAUGUGUUGAUAUCGGGAGGAACGCCGGUGGCGAAAGCGGCGGACUGGGCCUAUUCUGACGCUGAGGCGCGAAAGCUAGGGGAGCAAACGGG
rnacentral:rRNA from 1 species